CCUACGGGAGGCAGCAGUAGGGAAUAUUGCUCAAUGGGGGAAACCCUGAAGCAGCAACGCCGCGUGGAGGAUGAAGGUUUUCGGAUUUUAAACUCCUUUUGUUAGAGAAGAUAAUGACGGUAUCUAACGAAUAAGCACCGGCUAACUCCGUGCCAGCAGCCGCGGUAAUACGGAGGGUGCAAGCGUUACUCGGAAUCCCUGGGCGUAAAGAGCGCGUAGGCGGGAUAGCAAGUCAGAUGUGAAAUCCUAUGGCUUAACCAUAGAACUGCAUUUGAAACUGUUAUUCUAGAGUAUGGGAGAGGUAGGUGGAAUUCUUGGUGUAGGGGUAAAAUCCGUAGAGAUCAAGAGGAAUACUCAUUGCGAAGGCGACCUGCUAGAACAUAACUGACGCUGAUGCGCGAAAGCGUGGGGAGCAAACAGGAUUAGAUACCCUUGUAGUC
rnacentral:rRNA from 1 species